AUAAAAAGCCCUAAAAGCCCUUGGGCAUCAGAUUCCAUCUGAUCUUGGAAGUUGAGCAGGGCUAGUCCUGAUUAGUACUUUGAUGGGGGACUACCAGUGAAUAGUAGGCUAAAUU
rnacentral:rRNA from 1 species